rnacentral:lncRNA from 1 species
AACCUCGUAGACGGUGGCUGCAGCUGAUAGUGUAAUCUAUACCACCGAACCGGGCGUGCACUACGUGCCGAAGGCAAUGCCGGCGUCUGUUGCCGUAAAUAGUAGGCGUCUUCAUAACCAGCCCUUGGUUGCGCCGCAACCGGCACGAUCCAUCAGCUCGCACCUGUCCCUCAGAAACCAAGCAACCCAAGAGUACACACGUGUACACAAACCAGCUUAAUCGCGAUUCGCUGCCAUCGUAGAAACAUCGGCUGCUGAAGCAGUGACGGCGUCUACGCUGCUUACUGUCGUGAACGCACCGCAAACCCUUCGCGCAAAAUCAGGCGAGAUGGUUUCGGAUGCGCGGCGCCUGCGGGCACAGAGGUGCCACUGCUCCGUUUUUACGACCUCCCGUGUCAUCACUUUGCGGCACUGCCAUGUAGAAAGCGCACUGUGCCAAUCGGCACGCUGCCGGUUGCCUUGACGUUACUUUGCCAACAGAAAAAUGACUAACGCUGCAGAUUUUUUGAAAAAAAAAAAAAAGAAGAAGAAACGCCACUGUGCGAAUGCUCUCGGUGCACGAUUUGGCAGGUCAAAACGUGUGCGAACCGUCGAGAGGAAAUACGGUGCACCCAGAGUAAAGUUUCCGCUUGCAUAAUCAGAAUUUCGGUGUUUAGGUUUAGGUUAGGCAAGCCGGGCGGCGCAUAGCGCAACCACCGCCACCCGGUAUGCAGGCAAUACGGCUACAUUUCUCGCUAGACUCCGUCUCGCUAGUUUCGUGCAGCAAUACGGGCCCCUAAGCGCGGCACAAUCUCAAGGUAAUAGUGUCGAAAGAUUGCGAAAGUUUCCAAUGCGUACUCGGAGAAUAAAAAUCCCUAUGCCGAGCAACAGAGACAGGGAUACACAUGUGGAUGACAUUGAAUCCUUCGCCCAGGAUCCAUCACGCAGCAU